rnacentral:tRNA from 1 species
GGCAUGUAGCUCAGUGGUAGAGAAUGUGCCUAGAAUGUACAUGGUUCUGGGUUUGAUCUCCAGCAAACACCA